rnacentral:rRNA from 1 species
UUCCGGUUGAUCCUGCCGGACCCUACUGCUAUCGGGGUGGGACUAAGCCAUGCGAGUUGUGCGCCUUCGAGCAAUGGCGGAGGCGCGGCAUACGGCUCAGUAACACGUGGCUAACCUACCCUUGGGACGGGGACAACCCCGGGAAACUGGGGCUAAUCCUCGAUGGGUGAGGAGGCCUGGAAUGGUUCCUCGCCGAAAGGGCGCCGAAACCAUGCUUUUCAGCGUUGCCCAAGGAUGGGGCCGCGGCCGAUCAGGUUGUUGGUGGGGUAACGGCUCACCAAGCCUUUGACCGGUACGGGCCGUGAGAGCGGGAGCCCGGAGAUGGGCACUGAGAUAAGGGCCCAGGCCCUACGGGGUGCAUUAGGCGCGAAAACUCCGCAAUGUGCGAAAGCGUGACGGGGCCAUCCCGAGUGCCGUCCGCUGAGGAUGGCUUUUCCACGGUGUAAGGAGCCGUGGGAAUAAGGAGAGGGCAAGUCUGGUGUCAGCCGCCGCGGUAAUACCAGCUCUCCGAGUGGUAGGGAUGAUUAUUGGGCUUAAAGCGUCCGUAGCUGGCUCGGUAAGUCUUUCGUCAAAUCCAGCGACCUAAUCGUUGGACUGCGGGAGAUACUGUUGAGCUAGGGGGCGGGAGAAGCCGACGGUAUUCUCGGGGUAGGGGUGAAAUCCUAUAAUCCCGGGAGGACCACCAGUGGCGAAGGCGGUCGGCUAGAACGCGCUCGACGGUGAUGGACGAAAGCUGGGGGAGCGAACCGGAUUAGAUACCCGGGUAGUCCCAGCUGUAAACGAUGCGGGCUAGGUGUUGGGGGGGCUACGAGCCUCUUCAGUGCCGCAGCGAAGGCAUUAAGCCCGCCGCCUGGGGAGUACGGCCGCAAGGCUGAAACUUAAAGGAAUUGGCGGGGGAGCACCACAAGGGGUGAAGCUUGCGGUUUAGUUGGAGUCAACGCCGGA